GCAUUAAUGGGGUAGUGGUAACCUGGGUCGUUGCCAUGGGAUAUAGAUCACUUUCAUUUACUGGAUUUCGACCCGCCGGGGGUUCGAUUCCCUCUUAAUGCA